rnacentral:rRNA from 1 species
GGGCCUCACUUCUUCCCAUCUCGAACAGAGUAGUUAAGCCCGCUUGCGCAAAAUAGUACUGCAGUUAUGUGGAAAGUAUGUCGUUGU